GGAUGCGAUCAUACCAGCACUUAAGCACCGGAUGCCAUCAGAACUCCGAAGUUAAGCGUGCUUGGGCGAGUGUAGUAUUAGGAUGGGUGACCUGCUGGGAAGUCCUCGUGUUGCAUUCC
rfam:Triticum aestivum genome assembly, contig: Triticum_aestivum_CS42_TGACv1_scaffold_088403_1DS